UACGUAGGCAGCAAGCGUUGUUCGGAGUUACUGGGCGUAAAGGGUGUGUAGGCGGUUCUUAAGUUUGGUGUGAAAUCUCCCGGCUCAACUGGGAGGGUGCGCCGAAUACUGAGGGACUAGAGUACGGGAGAGGAAAGUGGAAUUCCUGGUGUAGCGGUGAAAUGCGUAGAUAUCAGGAGGAACACCGGUGGUGUAGACGGCUUUCUGGACCGACACUGACGCUGAGACACGAAAGCGUGGGUAGCAAACAGG
rnacentral:rRNA from 1 species